rnacentral:lncRNA from 10 species
AACAAAAUUCCUUUUAAGUAACAUUUCCUGUGGCAACUCCCAAGGACUUUAUUGAGGUGAGACCUUCAACCCAAAAGAAAUAGACUGCGCAGGACCAACUGACUGACUUUGGAGGUUACAAAAAAUAUUCUGCUUAUCAUCAACACCAUCACUGUCAUCAUCAUCCCAAGACAAAAUGGGUAAGAUUUUCUGCAUCUGUGUUCAUCAGGGUUGUUGGUGAAUAGUCUGUCUGUCUUUCUUUCUUUCUCUUUCUUUCUUUCUUUUCUUUCUUUCUUUCUUUCCUUUCUCUUUCUUUCUUUCCUUUCUUUCUCUUUCUUUCUUUCUUUCUUCUUUCUUUCCCUUCCUUCCUUCCUUCCUUCUUUCUUUUCUUUCUCUCCUUCUUUCUUUCCUUCUUUUUUUUUUUUUGAGACGGAGUUUUGCUCUUGUCACCCAGGCUGGAGUGCAAUGCUGUGAUCUCAGCUCACUACAACCUCCGCCUCCUGGGUUCAAGUGAUUCUCCAGCCUCAGCCUCCCGAGUAGCUGGGAUUACAGGCACCCACCACCACGCCCAGCUAAUUUUUAUAUUUUUAGUAGAGACAGGGUUUCGCUAUGUUGGCCAGGCUGCUCUUGAACUCCUGACCUUAGGUGAUCCACCCACCUCCGCCUCCCAAAGUGCUGGAUUACAGGCGUGAGCCACCGCGCCUGGCCAAUGGUUUUCUUUUCUUGGGAUAUCUCUGUCUGGCUUUGAUAUCGGUAUAAUGCUGGCAUCAUAAAAUGAGUUUGGAAAUGUUCUUUCUUCUUCAAUUUUUUCAAGGUUUGAGAAGGAUUGGUGUUAUUUCUUCUUUAAAUGUUUGGUAGAAUUCACCAGUGAAGCCCUCUAGUCCUGGGCCUUUCUUUCUUGGGAGGUUUCGGGUUAGUAACUCAAUCUUCAUGGUAGUGAUCAAAUCUUUUAUUUCUCCCUCUCUCCCUCUCUCCCUCUCUCCCUCUCCCCCUCUCCCCCUCUCCCCGUCUCCCUCUCCCUUUCCCCACGGUCUCCCUCUCCCUCUCUUUCCACGGUCUCCCUCUGAUGCCGAGCCGAAGCUGGACGGUACUGCUGCCAUCUCGGCUCACUGCAACCUCCCUGCCUGAUUCUCCUGCCUCAGCCUGCCGAGUGCCUGCGAUUGCAGGCGCGCGCCGCCACGCCUGACUGGUUUGCGUAUUUUUUUGGUGGAGACGGGGU